GAUAGGCUUAACACAUAGCAAGUCGAGGGGCAGCAUGAACUUAGCUUGCUAAGUUUGAUGGCGACCGGCGCACGGGUGCGUAACGCGUAUGCAACUUGCCUUACAGAGGGGGAUAACCCGUUGAAAGACGGACUAAUACCGCAUACACUUGCUUGGUUGCAUGAUCGGGCAAGGAAAUAUUUAUAGCUCGUAAGAUAGGCAUGCGUCCCAUUAGCAUGGUUGGUCGAGGUAACGGGCUCACCCAAGGCAACCGAUGGGUAGGGGAACUGAGAGGUUUAUCCCCCACACUGGGUACUGGAGACACGGACCAGGACUCCUACGGGAGGCAGCAGGUGAGGAAUAUUGGUCAAUGGGCGAGAGCCUGAACCAGCCAAGUCGCGUGAAGGAUGACUGUCCUAAGGAUUGUAAACUUCUUUUAUACGGGAAUAACGGGCGAUACGUGUAUUGCUGUGAAUGUACCGUAAGAAUAAGCAUCGGCUAACUCCGUGCCAGCAGCCGCGGUAAUACGGAGGAUGCGAGCGUUAUCCCGGAUUUAUUGGGUUUAAAGGGUGCGUAGGUUGUUCGGUAAGUCAGCGGUGAAAACUUGAGCGCUCAACGUUCAGCGUGCCGUUGAAACUGCCGGGCUUGAGUUCAGAGGCGGCAGGCGGAAUUCGUGGUGUAGCCGGUGAAAUGCAUAGAUAUCACGAGGAACUCCGAUUGCGAAGGCAGCUUGCCAUACUGCGACUGACACUGAAGCACGAAGGCGUGGGUAUCAAACAGGAUUAGAUACCCUGGUAGUCCACGCAGUAAACGAUGAUUACUAGGAGUUUGCGAUAUACCGUCAAGCUUCCACAGCGAAAGCGUUAAGUAAUCCACCUGGGGAGUACGCCGGCAACGGUGAAACUCAAAGGAAUUGACGGGGGCCCGCACAAGCGGAGGAACAUGUGGUUUAAUUCGAUGAUACGCGAGGAACCUUACCCGGGAUUGAAAUGUAGACGACGGAUGGUGAAAGCCGUCUUCCCUUCGGGGCGUCUAUGUAGGUGCUUGCAUGGUUGCCCGUCAGCUCGUGCCGUGAGGUGUCGGCUUAAGUGCCAUAACGAGCGC
rnacentral:rRNA from 1 species